CGCUGGCGGCGCGUUUAAGCAUGCAAGUCGAGCGGCAAGGGCCUUCGGGCCCUAGAGCGGCGGACGGGUGAGUAACACGUGGACAAUCUGCCCCCCGGCCCGGGAUAGCCCAGGGAAACCUGGAUUAAUACCGGAUGAGACGGGACCCGCGAUGGCGGGAUCCGGGAAAGGCGCUGCGGCGCCGCCGGGGGAUGAGUCUGCGUCCCAUUAGCUAGACGGCGGGGUAACGGCCCACCGUGGCGACGAUGGGUAGCCGGCCUGAGAGGGUGGACGGCCACAUUGGAACUGAGACACGGUCCAGACUCCUACGGGAGGCAGCAGCUAAGAAUCUUCCGCAAUGGGCGAAAGCCUGACGGAGCCGACGCCGCGUGAACGAAGAAGGCCGUGAGGUUGUAAAGUUCUUUUCGGGAGGGGGAACAACCGUGGCAGGGAAUGGCCGCGGGAUGACGUGAAUCCCGGAAUAAGCCCCGGCUAACUACGUGCCAGCCGCCGC
rnacentral:rRNA from 1 species